UACGGAGGGUGCGAGCGUUGUCCAGAAUCACUGGGCGUAAAGGGCGCGUAGGCGGCUCGAUAAGCGUGUGGUGGAAGCCUGGGGCUCAACCCCGGGUCGGCCAUGCGAACUGUCGAGCUGGAGCACUGUAGAGGCAGGCGGAAUUCCGGGUGUAGCGGUGGAAUGCGUAGAGAUCCGGAAGAACACCGGUGGCGAAGGCGGCCUGCUGGGCAGUAGCUGACGCUGAGGCGCGACAGCGUGGGGAGCAAACAGG
rnacentral:rRNA from 1 species